rnacentral:sRNA from 1 species
AAUACAAAUUUUAUUGGAAGGUAA